AGUGAACGCUGGCGGUAGGCCUAACACAUGCAAGUCGAACGGCAGCACAGUAAGAGCUUGCUCUUACGGGUGGCGAGUGGCGGACGGGUGAGGAGUACAUCGGAAUCUACUUUUUCGUGGGGGAUAACGUAGGGAAACUGACGCUAAUACCGCAUACGACCUACGGGUGAAAGCAGGGGAUCUUCGGACCUUGCGCGAUUGAAUGAGCCGAUGUCGGAUUAGCUAGUUGGCGGGGUAAAGGCCCACCAAGGCGACGAUCCAUAGCUGGUCUGAGAGGAUGAUCAGCCACACUGGAACUGAGACACGGUCCAGACUCCUACGGGAGGCAGCAGUGGGGAAUAUUGGACAAUGGGCGCAAGCCUGAUCCAGCCAUACCGCGUGGGUGAAGAAGGCCUUCGGGUUGUAAAGCCCUUUUGUUGGGAAAGAAAAGCAGCAGGUUAAUACCCCGCUGUUCUGACGGUACCCAAAGAAUAAGCACCGGCUAACUUCGUG
rnacentral:rRNA from 1 species